rnacentral:pre_miRNA from 1 species
AAUUAGAAGCUCUGGCUGGAAAACACGAAUGGUUUAAUCGCUCAAGUCGAAUCAUCAUCACAACUCGGGACAAAAGGUUGCUAACAUGUCAUGGGAUUGAAUGUAAAUAUGAGGUGAAGGGGUUGAAUGACAUAGAUGCUGCUGAGUUGGUUAGAAGGAAAGCUUUUAAAGAUGAAUUUAGUCCAAGCUACAAAAAUGUUUCAACAGAAAAAAUGCAUGUUUUAGAACGUGUUGUAACAUAUGCCUCUGGUCAUCCACUCGCUUUGGAAGUCAUGGGUUCUCACUUUUCUAAUA